AGAGUUAAUAAUGAAAACAAGCUCAUAAAUUUUGUCACUUCUCUACUAUUGGUCGGAACGUCAUUGGGUUCUUAUGUGUUGACGUUCUGACCAGUAGUAGAGAAGUGCCGCUCCCCCAUGUAUGACCUGGAAGAGGCUAUGGCAAAUUGGAUUAAUGUGAAUAUCAAAGGAUACCAGUACGUAGUGAACUCGCUGGCAGAUUUCAUUUCAAGACUUAAGGAGACUAGAAUUGGGGCGAAUCCAUAUUUCACCACUGUAGAUUUUGAAAAAUUAUAUACCUUGUUAAGAAUUGAGCUGACUUGCCUGUGUCUAUAUAGAUACUUGAUGAUGGAAAAUCUCCCGUUGCCAACAAACCAACCCAGCUUUAUGUAGAGAACUAGCAGAUCUGUUUUGUCACUCAUUUUAUAGGUUUAAAGGAAAGUAUUACAGAGACGAGGGGUACCAACAGGGAGCCCCUUAGCGGGAAUGUUAGCGGAAUUGGUUCUUUGCUCCCUAGAGUGAACGCUCCAAUCCGAGAGGCUGCCAUUUACACCCACUAUGUGGAUGAUAUCUUCAUAGUAUGGAAUGAAGAGGAUAGAACGCAAGAACUUGUGGAUACCUUCACGAUAGAUAGCUAUGGGCUUAAACUUAAUAUAGAACAGAGAGAAUGAUUAGAGAUACACUUCCUGGAUGGGAAAAUUCUGUACGAACCACCAACCAUUUACACGACAGUAUACAGGAAGCCCACCAAUGUCAAAAUGAUCAUAUCCAGGUGAUUGAACGUUAAGUGGAGAUAUAAAAAAUGCAGCUAUAAGAUCGUACAUACAAAGAGCGGUAACACAUUGUAGCACUGAGAGCCUCCUAUAUGAAGAGAUUGAAAUGAUAAGGAAAGUGGCUUCCAUGCCUGGGUACACUAGGAGAACAGUGGAUAAACUGAUAGAGGAGGGUUAAAAAGAAGAUGAACAACGAGAAUAGGAGAAACCAUGAGGAACAAAAUCAAGACAAUAUGAAUGGUGGAAAUGAAGAAAAGUAUGAAGCAAUAACAGAUGAUCUAGGAACAUACUGAACAGUAAAAGAGGUGCUUAAGCGAAAAAAGAAAGUUCCAGUGUAUAAAAGACCGGAAACAAUUACUAACUUAUUAAAAAAUGUGAAGGAUAGAUAUGGUAGAAGAGAGAAAUCAGGGAUAUAUGAAAUCCCUCUCUUGAAUCUAGACGAGCACAAGGAAGAGGUGUAUAUAGGUGCUACGGGUAGGAACUUAAGAGAUAGAUCAGAUGAACACCGACAAGAUGUAAAAGGAGCAAGGCAAACUAGAAAAGCACUAGCUAUAAAAGCAUAUGAAUGCAAUAUAAAAAUCAACUGGGAGGAAGCGGCAGUACGCAGAAAUGUAACAGAUAACAGAGAAUUGCAUAUAACAGAGGAUAUGGCUAUUUUAGAAGGCAGUAGAAAAGGAGAAAUAAUAAAUGAAAGACAGUCAGUGGAUUUGCCGCAAGCAUGGAAGUAUGUAGUACGAAAUAGGGGAAAGGGGCAGCUAAAGUAGAAUUGUUUAAAAGAAUUACGAAAGGAGAUAAGAAAGAACUGUUUUAAAAAUUGAACAUUUUAUGUUUACAGUUAUGUUUUCUGGUUAUUACUUGCU
rnacentral:lncRNA from 1 species